GGCAGAGGUGCAGAGAUUCACCUGCUCCUGAGGGAUGCUGCUACAGCAAGUCUCUGGAGCUGGGCUUAAAAGUGGUGGGAUAAGGAAGCAUAUCCUAAUGCAGCAAUGUUUAGGGGCAGUAACUUACUUUUUUCAAGUUGUUUCCAUCCUACAGACCUCUACAAGGCCAAUGGCUUUCAGAUUUUCCUGCUUGAUGCCCAACAUCACUUUUCUAAUCCAACUUACCUUUUGUCCUGUGCUUUCCUUCUGGCAGCAACUGAAGACAUCUCCAAUGUUUCAACAACUGAAUACGAACCAUUGUGUCUUAAUGUGACCUUCUGCAGGCAGGCAGCCACGUGCUGCCCCUCGGGCAUGGACGACUACGGGUGGAUCGCAGCGGCCGUCGGCUGGAGCCUCUGGUUCCUCACCCUCAUCCUGCUCUGCAUGGACAAGAUCAUGAAGCUCAGGCCUGACGAACCCAAAUACUUGGUGGCCUGAAGCAGAGAGAGCCAGUGAGCAGCAGCACUGGGCGGACUGACAGAACAUUUCAAAUAUUUGCUAAGAAACAAAAGGGAAAGGGAAAACACCUCCAGCCCAAAAAGGCCCAAUCCAGGCAGGGCAGCUGCUGAGGCUUCACCCUGGAGCUGCCAGCCAAGGUGUGGAGCAGGCAAGUCCCUGAAAGCCACCAUGUACCCGCCACAGUACAAAACUCCCAAUUGUCCCUGAGCCCUCUCGUGCUUGCUGUGAGCACAGCAACAAGAGGAGAGGCUGAGGGACCAAUGACCAGCCUAUAGCACAUUGCCUCAUCUAUGGGUUUGACACAGAAAGUGGGCAAAUAAAGCUACUUUCUGGAGCA
rnacentral:lncRNA from 1 species